rnacentral:rRNA from 1 species
UACAGAGGUCUCAAGCGUUGUUCGGAUUCAUUGGGCGUAAAGGGUGCGUAGGCGGCGUGGUAAGUCGGAUGUGAAAUCUCGGGGCUUAACUCCGAAACUGCAUUCGAUACUACCGUGCUUGAGGACUGGAGAGGAGACUGGAAUUUACGGUGUAGCGGUGAAAUGCGUAGAUAUCGUAAGGAAGACCAGUGGCGAAGGCGGGUCUCUGGACAGUUCCUGACGCUGAGGCACGAAGGCCAGGAGAGCAAACGGG